rnacentral:rRNA from 1 species
UCGCUACUACCGAUUGGAUGGCUUAGUGAGUUUUAGGGAUUUUGCUUCACGGUAGGUUCGCCUUCCGCUGCGGCAAGAGAACUAAAUCAAACUUGAUCAUCUAGAGGAAGUAA